rnacentral:lncRNA from 1 species
CGGAUCUCGGGUCUCAGCUCCGGAUUCACUGCUGACCGCCGUCCGCCUCGCGUGGGGCAGAUGCUCUGGACGCCCAACCCUGACCUGUAGCUUCUCAAACCAGCCGCUGGGACCUCGGAAGCAGCUGCGACCUUGGGACCAGAGCAGCUGCUGAUGUAUCAGAAAGCAACUGAAGCCUCCAGCCGCAAGUUUAGUGUGAAGACGUCAGUUCACAAUGCCAGUCCUGGAAAUGAGUUACUGCAAAGGAGAAAACCACACAAAGCCUAGGAGAGCAGUGAGGGGGUGGAGAGAAGAGGUGGAUGCCAGUGCCACGGCCAACAUCCUUUUGACAACACCAGCAAACGUGGAGCGAUCUGGUGCAAAUUAAAAGACCAAUGUG